AGAACGAACGCUGGCGGCAGGCUUAACACAUGCAAGUCGAGCGCCCCGCAAGGGGAGCGGCAGACGGGUGAGUAACGCGUGGGAACAUACCCUCCGGUUCGGAAUAACUCAGGGAAACUUGAGCUAAUACCGGAUACGGUCGAGAGGCGAAAGAUUUAUCGCCGGAGGAUUGGCCCGCGUCCGAUUAGCUAGUUGGUGUGGUAAUUGCGCACCAAGGCGACGAUCGGUAGCUGGUCUGAGAGGAUGAUCAGCCACAUUGGGACUGAGACACGGCCCAAACUCCUACGGGAGGCAGCAGUGGGAAUAUUGGACAAUGGGCGAAAGCCUGAUCCAGCCAUGCCGCGUGAGUGAUGAAGGCCUUAGGGUUGUAAAGCUCUUUCGCCACGACGAUAAUGACGGUAGUGGGAGAAGAACGCCCCGGCUAACUUCGUGCCAGCAGCCGC
rnacentral:rRNA from 1 species